ACGUAAUAGAUACCCAGGUAGUCCACGCCCUAAACGAUGUCUACUAGUUGUUGGUGGAGUAAAAUCCAUGAGUAAACGCAGCUAAACGCGUGAAGUAGACCGCCUGGGGAGUACGGUCGCAAGAUUAAAAACUCAAAGGAAUUGACGGGGGCCCGCACAAGCGGUGGAUUAUGUGGAUUAAAUUCGAUGCAACGCGAAAAACCUUACCUGGCCUUGACAUGCCACUAACGAAGCAGAGAUGCAUUAGGUGCCCGUAAGGGAAAGUGGACACAGGUGCUGCAUGGCUGUCGUCAGCUCGUGUCGUGAGAUGUUGGGUUAAGUCCCGCAACGAGCGCAACCCUUGCCAUUAAUUGCCAUCAUUUAGUUGGGCACUUUAAU
rnacentral:rRNA from 1 species